rnacentral:rRNA from 1 species
CCUACGGGUGGCAGCAGUCGAGCAUCAUUCACAAUGGGGGAAACCCUGAUGGUGCGACGCCGCGUGGGGGAAUGAAGGUCUUCGGAUUGUACACCCCUGUCAUGUGGGAGCCAAUUAAAAAGAUAGUACCACAAGAGGAAGAGACGGCUAACUCUGUGCCCGCAGCCGCGGUAAUACAGAGGUCUCACGCGUUGUUCGGAAUCACUGGGCGUAAAGCGUGCGUCGGCUGUUUCGUAAGUCGUGUGUGAAAGGCGCGGGCUCAACCCGCGGACGGCACAUGAUACUGCGAGACUAGGGUAAUGGAGGGGGAACCGGAAUUCUCGGUGUAGCAGUGAAAUGCGUAGAUAUCGAGAGGAACACUCGUGGCGAAGGCGGGUUCCUGGACAUUAACUGACGCUGAGGCACGAAGGCCAGGGGAGCGAAAGGGAUUAGAUACCCCAGUAGUC